rnacentral:lncRNA from 1 species
UGGUAUGUAGUUGCAGACUCUAAAAAUUUCCCGUAUGCAUCAACUGCCUCUUUCGUAUAGGGCUUCAAAGCCACCCUAACUUUAUCAACAUGGGGCUUUGUCACUGUAGCAACCUGAUCAAUAUAUGGCUCACUGAACUUUUUAGCUUCCUGUGAUCAAAUUUAAACAUUUCAGAUGCAAGUUAAGACAGCAGACAUACAACAAGGAACAGUAUAAAAGCAUACACACCUGAAAGUAAGGAUCGACUAUUUCUUGUACCGUGAUGACAUGUGCAGUGAUUGUAGUCUUUGAGGCCUCAUAGAUUUCGAUAGUUUUAGCAGUUAAUGAUUGCACAUGAGGUUCAACUUGUGUCGCUAUCACAACCCAUUGCUCUUUUAUAGCUGGGACCCAUUUCUUCAUGCAAGAGGGCAAACAAUCAUUAAGUACACGAAUCCAAUUUUCUUCAUUUACUUGACCAAUCAAAGUUAACGCCAACUAUUAGCGCUAUAGCAAAACAUGCAUGUAACAACAGUAAACAGCACAGAACCACAGAUUCACUGAAACUUUUUUCAAGCCAGAUUUCAAUUAGUCUAUGGAGCAACAUAGAAUGCUGCUUCAAAGUAAAUCAGCCUUAAAACAUGUGACCUGAUCAAAAUAUCAGGUUUGCACUCCCAACAAUUAAUAAAUGAGCACAAAAUU